rnacentral:tRNA from 1 species
GCGGUGGUUCAGUGCUAGAAUUCCUGCCUUGCAUGCCGGAGACCUGAGUUCUAAUCCCAGCAACGCA